rnacentral:tRNA from 1 species
GGGCAAUUAGCUCAAUUGGCAGAGCGUUCGUCUUAUACACGAAUGGUUCCUGGUUCGAGUCCAGGAUUGCCCACCA